GUUCUGGGCUGGCCUGCUGACUUGUUCUGGUGAUUGAGCAAAUGUGCCUUGCGGUGAGUCCCAGAGGGCUGGUGAUGUGUGCCUUCACUCUUCAGAAAGCUUCCGGUGCCUGUAAGGAAACUGGUGAGAGCCUUUCAGAGCCCUCUUGAAGAGACAGUCCCACAGUCAGCACCAACCCAGCUGACCCUGGUCCACUGCAAAUGUGCGAGUCCAAUCAGCACCAUGCUGAGCAGAACCGCCCCGCUGAGCCCAGUUCAGAUGACGCACCUGUGGCACUGUGAGCAAAGGCCUGGGUCUUUUUUUUGGCCACCAGGUUUUGGGUGGUCUGUUAUGGGCACCUACGCAACAUAGAAGCAUUAAAGAACAGAAAAGAGUUUCUGAGGCCCCCAGGCACCAGCAAGACUGGAGUUACCUGAAGGGCUAAGGGAGGAAGCAGUGUUGAGGCUACCCAAUGUGGGACCCAAAGCAUGGCUGUCAGGAAGACCCCAGAACCACAGAACCCUAGCAGGGACGAAGUUAGGGAGGAAACACCUCAGUCUCUCCCUUCCUGUGUCCCAGGCUCUGGGCUGAGCCCAACUAGAGCCAGACAGUGAGGGAGUCAGAAGACGCCCUUCCCUAGGGCCAGCUUUCUGCAGCACAGAGACAGAUCUGGGAAGAGCUAGAGACCAGAGGGAGUCACCAGGGCAUAUCUUGUCCCUAAAAAGUGGAUGGUGAGAACAUCUAAGAAUGAGAAACCUCAAAUCAGGCUGCAAGUCACCUCUGGGGUGAAAGGAUCUCUACCUUAAAUAGGCUGGUGAGUACCUGAGAGUUCAUUAUGUUCCCAUAUGCACUAUUUUGUAUGUCUGAAAUGAGUCACAGUUGAGUCCACGAAGCCACCACUGAGUCACAAGAUGGGUGACCUGGGAAAUGUCACAUUACCUCCCCAAGCCUUAGCUUCUCUGUAUAAUGAAGCCAUGACAUUCCCCUCAAAGGCCCCCGUGGGUAUGGGGCAGAGCUGGUGAAAGUGGGAGCAGAAUUGCUGCCACCCAAGCGAUUUUUAAGCAGGUGGCUGUCACAAUAGAGAGAAUCACAGAAGGAGACAGAAACAGAGAACUCCUCUGCUAUGAAAAUCAGUGUCUCUGCAUAGAGCAGCUGGGUCCCCAUGUCUUUCCAGACAGCUCUGCUGUGCCCAGGUCUCCUCUCCACUGAGCACGUGUACAUGCACACAGGGACACACUCACAAGGGGACACACUCGGGCUCACACUCG
rnacentral:lncRNA from 1 species